rnacentral:rRNA from 1 species
CACGUAGUUAGCCGGUGCUUAUUCUUUAGGUACCGUCAGUAUCAGCCAUUAUUCACAGCUGACUUUUCUUCCCUAACAAAAGUACUUUACAACCCUAAGGCCUUCUUCAUACACGCGGCAUGGCUGGAUCAGGGUUGCCCCCAUUGUCCAAAAUUCCCCACUGCUGCCUCCCGUAGAGUCUGGCCGUGUCUCAGUCCCAGUGUGGCGGAUCAUCCUCUCAGACCCGCUACAGAUCUUCGCCUUGGUGAGCCUUUACCUCACCAACUAGCUAAUCCGACAUCGGCCGCUCAAAAGCGCUAGGCCUAUUCCCAGGUCCCAGCUUUCUUCCUCAGAAUUUAUGCGGUAUUAGCCACCCUUUCGGGUGGUUAUCCCCCUCUUCUCGACACGUUCCGAUGUAUUACUCACCCGUUCGCCACUCGCCGCAGAGAAGCAAGCUCCUCCCCGCUGCCGUUCGACUUGCAUGUGUAAAGCAUCGCCGCAGUCGUUCAAAUCCGUGAGCCAGGACUAA